UAAUACGGAGGGUGCAAGCGUUAUCCGGAUUCACUGGGUUUAAAGGGUGCGUAGGCGGGCAGGUAAGUCAGUGGUGAAAUCUCUGAGCUUAACUCGGAAACUGCCGUUGAUACUAUCUGUCUUGAAUGUCGUUGAGGUUUGCGGAAUAUGUCAUGUAGCGGUGAAAUGCUUAGAUAUGACAUAGAACAUCGAUUGCGAAGGCAGCAAACUAAGCGAAUAUUGACGCUGAGGCACGAAAGCGUGGGGAUCAAACAGG
rnacentral:rRNA from 1 species